rnacentral:lncRNA from 10 species
AGAGGGUGCCUGCUUCCCCUUCGCCUUCCACCAUGAUUAAACCGCAAUCAAGGAUCUUGCCUACUUUUUCACCCAUUCCCUCUGCCUCCUGAACAUCCCUGGUGCUGCUCCCCUGUGGCCACUGCUGGCAUGACAAGCUCCCACACUGGGGAUCUAAAGAAAAAGAAUGGAUUUUCCAGUCUCUUUGACCCCUGAGAUCUCAAAGCCCCUGUGAAGAUCGAUCAGUUGGCAUGGCUGGAUUCAGACUUCCCAGGCCAAGAGGACUUGAAGAAAUGAUCAGAUGAAUCUCAGAAACUCAGAGUUUGAAUAAUAGUUGUCGGUUAUUGCACACUUGCUGUGUGCCAGGCAUGGUGCUCACUGCUGCCCAUGGAUCAUUUCACCUAAUUUCAUCUACCAGCCUGAUAUCUGCACAUGUGAGAACCUGAGACGUAGGGAGUUUGCACGGCUUUAGCUUUCGCAGAAGGAGUAACACAGGGUCAUACCAACUUACUCCAGUUACCAAUUCUGUGACCUCAGGCAAGGACACAAGAAGAUGGCUGUCUACAAGCCAGGAAAAGAUUCUGCACCAGGAACUGGAUCAACUGGCACCUUGAUCUUGGACUUCCCAGCCUCCAGAACUAUGAGAUGAGAAAUAAGUGUCUAUUGUUUAAGCCUCCCAGUCUAUGGUAUUUUGUUAUAGCAACCCAAGAUGACAAAGACAACAAGCCUAAAAUGAAAAAUGGCAAAGUAACCAAGAUGUCCUUCAAGAGGGCUGUUUGUUGUCCAAAAAGCCUUUUUCCCUAAGCUUGAAAGCUUAACUUCUCAGAAGCAGGAAGCUGCCUUUUGCCAAGAGUAAAUGGGUGAGAAGUCCAAAGGUCUUGGUUUUGAAGUAUGUGCAACGAAUGUUCAAACAGGUUCUGAACAGAGCCAAAUCUACUUUUCUAUCUCCAAGAAAUCUCGAGAGAGCCAUGGGGCGGAAGUUUCAAGGAACAACGUCUCGUCCCAAACCGCAUGAAAUUGCAUUCCAAUCAGAAGCAUGGCCAAACCCACCAGAACGCAAAACGCAGGGAUGGAAGGACACUGACGACGAUGACCUUGUGAAAUGAGAGAAUUGUCUUGAAAGGGAGCGUUGUUACGGAAGAUGCUGAUUUCGGCAUUCCCUGUCUGAAGUGCUAACUAACCUCAUUGGGUUUUUGCUCUGCACCAGACUGGAGCCAAGGACUCUGCAGGCCUUGAAGAUGCAAGCUGGUAUGAUGUGAACUGCCACAUGGCAGGGAACUGCAGGUACCCUCGAGGACGUGAGGACCUCAUUCUUACAUCUGCAAGAAACCAAAUUCUGCGGACAGCUAUGUGAACUUUAAAAGAAGACCUGGAACCUCCAGAAAGGAAUGCAGCCUGGCCAAUGUGCUGAUUGCAUCCUUGUGAGACUCUGAGCCAGAGGACCCAGCUAAACUCUGCCUGGACUCCUGACCCACGGAAACUGUAAGAUAAUAAACGUGUGUUGUUUUAAGCUGCCAA